AGUUUGACUCCGUGGCUACGAGGACGACGCUGGCGGCGCGCUUAACACAUGCAAGUCGAACGGAGCUUGCUUUUGAAGUCCCUUCGGGGACGGAUGUUGUAAGCUUAGUGGCGGACGGGUGAGUAACGCGUGAGCAACCUGCCUUUCAGAGGGGGGAUAACACAACGAAAGCUGUGCUAAUACCGCAUAACAUUGCUUUAUCGCAUGGUAGGGCAAUCAAAGGAGCAAUCCGCUGAAAGAUGGGCUCGCGUCCGAUUAGAUAGUUGGCGGGGUAAGGCCCACCAAGUCGACGAUCGGUAGCCGGACUGAGAGGUUGGCCGGCCACAUUGGGACUGAGACACGGCCCAGACUCCUACGGGAGGCAGCAGUGGGGGAUAUUGCACAAUGGGCGAAAGCCUGAUGCAGCGACGCCGCGUGAGGGAAGAAGGUCUUCGGAUUGUAAACCUUUGUCCUAUGGGAAGAUAAUGACGGUACCAUGGGAGGAAGCCACGGCUAACUACGUGCC
rnacentral:rRNA from 1 species